GACGAACGCUGGCGGCGUGCCUAAUACAUGCAAGUAGAACGCUGAAGGAGGAGCUUGCUCUUCUGGAUGAGUUGCGAACGGGUGAGUAACGCGUAGGUAACCUGCCUGGUAGCGGGGGAUAACUAUUGGAAACGAUAGCUAAUACCGCAUAACAGUAGAUGUUGCAUGACAUUUACUUAAAAGGUGCAAUUGCAUCACUACCAGAUGGACCUGCGUUGUAUUAGCUAGUUGGUGGGGUAACGGCUCACCAAGGCGACGAUACAUAGCCGACCUGAGAGGGUGAUCGGCCACACUGAGACUGAGACACGGCCCAGACUCCUACGGGAGGCAGCAGUAGGGAAUCUUCGGCAAUGGACGGAAGUCUGACCGAGCAACGCCGCGUGAGUGAAGAAGGUUUUCGGAUCGUAAAGCUCUGUUGUAAGAGAAGAACGAGUGUGAGAGUGGAAAGUUCACACUGUGGCGGUAUCUUACCAGAAAGGGACGGCUAACUACGUG
rnacentral:rRNA from 1 species